ACAGGAUUUUAUGCUGCUGUUUGGAGAGCAUCAGACAAGUUUUUGGAGAGGUGGCCAACUACAUGCAAGCAAAAUACCAUCAUGCUAAGCAAGACCCUAAGCAAGGCCACUCAGGGAGCUGAACUUCAGGAGCUGAUCCAGAUGGCAGAAUCUGCAGUUGAUGAGGGAGCUGACACGAAUUCUGAUGGAUGGGACGAUGAUCCUUCGUCCAUCCUUCUCCUGCUCCAUUUGAUUCUUCCUUCAUCACAAGGCCGAAAAAGACCAGGCAAGAUGUCUGCAUCCCAAACUGAACAGCAUCUUGUGAUAUUCCAAAAGGCAGGAACCAGUAUCCAGGAGCACCUUAAUGUGAUUGACCAGAGCCGCCAACCGUGUCGUCUUGCAGUCGAGACCAGGAAGAGCAGCAUCCACGCUUACUUCUUCCUCCUGGACAAGCGAGCCUUGCAAGUCAACGAGCGCUCUUGGUGCCUUCGAUGAGCUUUUCAAGACUCACUUUGUUUUUGGUACGGCUUACAAUACAAUGCUGCGCAACAUGUACACCUUCAUACAGACAGCGUAUACAACAUAGACAUUGGGAAGGUUAAGGAGACUCCGAGGGUUGCUGAGCUCAGAACUAAACUCCUGUACUAAUGCUGAUUAAGUUCUAAUGAUAUGUUUUGUUUGCCAUGCUAGUCAUGGAAGUACCAACUUGUUCGUGAGGCAUCUCAAGUUGAUGCAUGGAUUGUGCCCUGGUAGAACUCGUAGACUAACAUGUGGUCAAGCAGAUUGUUGUCGUGUAUUUGGUACAUUUUCAGGCUUCAGGAAGCAGUUGAGAAGGGCACAUUCCAGAGACUCAAAUUUUGUUAAACACUAACUUGGAUGCUAAUACAGCCAUUGAUAGUGAGCCAAAUAAUGCUAAUUUCCCUUCAAAUUCUAGUUGUAAGCAUGUUGUACCAACAUCUAACAAAAACACACUUGAUAUGUGUACAUCUGCUAUUGCACAACUGCAGGCUGCAUGUGUUGGUCAGAUGACUGUAAAUAGUUUUGUAUCUUCCGUGGAAGAAGCAGUUCAAGAGAUACUGGGUCAAGCUAAAGUGACUGCUCUUACACGUAUAUCUUCAAAAGACACAGAAACUGUCAGAAAAAUCCAACAUUCUUUUCAGGAUAUUGAAAAUCCUUGCACAUUGUUGAAUUCGGUAUCAAAACGAAGUGCUUAUUUCAUACAAAAAUGGGGAACAGUUCAACCAGUUGAGAAAGUCCUUGGUGUUAGAUUUGACAAUAGAAGAAACAACACUGCUGGAACUUAUGAUCAAAUAGUCAGAACUGAUACAUUUUCUCACGUUCCAACUCUCCAGACAUUGCAGUCAAUUUUGAAGAACCCAAACACAAGUGGCAUGUUUAACUUGGGGCACAAUUUUAAAGAUGGAGUUUACUUUGAUUUGGAAGAUGGACUAUAUAUGAAGAGACAUCCUCUCUUUUCUAAAGAGAAAAAUGCAUUGCAAAUUCAACUCUUUUAUGAUGACUUUGAGACUGCUAAUCCCAUCGGGAUCAAAAAUGGGUAUUCACAAGUUGGGAGGUAUAAACGUUACUUUGAGAAAUUUUACCCCAAAUUUUUAUUACAUUUUGGUAAAUAUUCACUUGUGCACUCUUCCAUGUCCAGGACCUUAAAACUUAUGGAUUUGAUUCCAUUCUUGAGCCAAUAGUAAGCGAUUUGAAAGUGCUUGAGACUGAGGGGAUUGAAGUUCCCUUCUUCAGUGGUCGUAUACAUGGCAGUAUCGUCCAAGUAACUGGAGAUAAUCUUGGUAUACAUUGCCUGUUUGGUUUUGUGGAAUCUUUUAGUGCUCGUUUUUGCCUCACCGAGAAAGUGGAUUUUCAAACUGUUCUCUGAGGAUGACCCAAGAGUGACUUUACGAACAAAACACAUGCACUCAGACCAUUUUCAAACUAUUCAGUCAAACCCAAACACUACCUCAGGUGUACGGUGUGAAGCAUGCUUACUUAUUGAACUCUCUGCAGUACUUCAAUAUGACAGACACAUUUUCCGUUGGUAUAAUGCACAAUUUGAGAUAAAACUUGUCUUACAGUAAGAUGAUAAAUACUGGAAGCUACUUCUGUUACUACUGCUACACAUUGUAAAAAUUGACUAUCUGUCUGAAGCAGUUCAUUGCUGAACAUCAUAGGCUUUUCAAGUAUCUGUUUCCUGACUGAAAUCUGUUUACCGAAACACCACUUCACGAUACAAUAUCCUCAUUGUGAAAGGAAUAUUGGGCCCAUUCUUCACUCGUGUAUGCGCUACAAGGCAAAACAUAAUUUCCUUAAAAAAGCAAUUGUAGAGUUUUAAGAAUGUCACUAUGAACUUAGCCAAGGAACACCAAAAUCACAUGGCAUAUAAUUGGGAAACGUUCAGCCAGGAUCGACUAGCUUCAGGUCAAGGCUCAAUGACCUGAAAGAAGGCCAAGAGAUCGCUGCCAAGUUGAAUGUCUCAGUGCGCACAAAUGUUUUGUCAGUUAAAUGGGUAAAGCCCCAUGGUAUAGAAUAUAGUCUUGAUUUGGUCAUAUGUGGUGAAGUAGCCAUUGAAAUGCCAGUAUUUUACAUGAUUACGGCUAUUGUUCUGAAAGAGGAAAAUGUUGUUUUGGGUUGGGUCAGCUCUUGAAGCAUUAUGUUUUGAUCAUUUGCAUGCAUUUACAGUUGUUUUGAAGCAAAGUCCACCAUGCAAGGUAUUUCAUGUAAAUGACAUCAUGUACCACAAACCUUUUAAUUUGCUCAUGUCAUAUGGAGCAAUGGAUUUUCUUGACUACAUUGUCCCCUACUGUGACUUGAUAACAGUUUAAGCCAGGGCUGAGACUUAUGGAUAGGUUGUGAGAAACACAUUUGAAUGUUGAAACAGCUUUGCUUGAGUUUAUUGUGAAAUUCCAAGUGCUUUUACAAAAUAUAAUUUCCAUUUACAUGGGGGAAGAGUAAAUAAAUUAACACUGAAGAAUAAACACAUUGUUACUCUAAUGGGAGUCACCCUAGAUCAACACUAGUGAGUGUCACUAUAACACUCAAAGUGUUGAUUACCUCUUUGUGUUACAUUUUAUCAAUGCCGGCCAGUGUACUGCAGUGUUAAUUUUUGCACUCUUCAGUGUUAAAUCAACACUAGAAAUGUAACACUUUGAUCAGUGUGCUUUUUACUCUGUGUAGAGUGGGACCGUAUGUACUCACUGACCGUGUUAAAUGUAACACUUUAGGUGUUGAUUUAACACUUUCAGAUUUACUGUGUAGUACCUUUAGGUGUCAAGGAACAUGUAUGGAGUAAAAAGUACAUGAUUUUCUUUAGGAAUGUAGUAAAGUAAAAGUUGUCAAAAAUAGUAAAGUACAGAUACCCCAAAAAACGACUUAAGUAGUACUUUAAAGUAUUUUUGCUUGAUUUCUUUACACUACUGAUAAUGGAGGAAGCGAGGAAACCUUUCUUUUUGAAAAUCUGAACACAAAACAUUCACCACAGGAUGUAUCAAAGAAACAAAUGAGUUAAACAUGAAAGAGAACAUGAAGGAAACCAUAAAACUAUCACAUUUUGUCAAAUGGAAUGACUGUGCCAGUUAAACAAGCAAGCUCACCUCCCACACGGCGUCCAUUGAGCCAUCAAAGAAG